CGCCGUCUUCUCCGGGUGGAAAGGUAGGCACCCCGUCUUCCGUGCACCUCUGUCCACUCCUCUACCUCUCGUCUCUCUCCCUUUUGUGUUCAGUGGUUGCUGUAACAUUUGCACUCUUAUUUUUCUCGUUGUUAUUGCUGAGGUUGUGCUGACGUUAGUCGGCAGGAGUGUCAUCUGUUGCAUUGCACAUGAAAGACCAUGUGUGUUAUCUAGAGAUACAGCGGGGUUUGUGUGUGCCUGGGUGUCUAUACGGGACACAUAAUGCUGCUAAAAUAUAAAAUAUUAUUAUUUUGAUAUUAACUUGAAUACCUACAUAUAGGUUAUGUUAGUGGGUUCCAUGGAUCUUUUCGGUCAUUGUUAGACAGCAGACAGCAAUCUCACACCUGCUGUAUUGGGUUAUUGCUCUUUAAUAAAAGGAGUGGCUUGUACAGACAGACUGAUACCAGACUGUCUGUGCUGUAUAGUGAAAGCUAGCUUGAACAUAAAGACUGUGUAUGGUAUUCAGGACGAAUAGCGCGCAUGGAUGCAGUUGGUGUACGGGCACUCACACUGCUAGGUUUGGUCCAUGGGGAUGACCAGCGAGGAGCAGCCUUAUUACCACGGCAACCUGUCUUCCCUUCUGCUGGCUCCCCCCGUGCCGCGCCGCGCCGCGCUUUGCAUGGAGAGGCGCAGAGCACUUUAGCCGGGGCUCUCCGCAUUUAUCACCAUUAGCAUCACCUUCAUCCGUAAGGUACGACUUCAACUCAGCAUCGCGGCUCCACAGACGCAGAGCACGUUCCUCACGCAGCAUCCGCAAAUUCGGACACCGUUGGUUUUCAUCGGCAUACUCGGAUGUUUUUAUCGACCAUAACACGUGCUAGGAGAGGAUGCUUUGAGCUGUGUGUAAUGUGUAGCCGCUAGAGGUGGGUAGGUAAUUAGAUGACACGGUAACGUCAUACGCGAAUAUAUGCAUAUAAGCAUGUUCUAAACAGGCAGACAGCGAGCCGUAAAUCUUGGGGUCCUCACAAUCUUGUGAGUGGAAAGUUUGUGUACAGCGUUGAUAAAUGGUUUGUGCCGGUCUCUGGUUAGGACUGCAGGUUGUUUUGCCUACCCGGAAGUGCAUGUACUGUAUGUAAGCUGGGGAAGCCACGGUUGGAGAUGACGUGGCCAGCGUUGACUGACCUUACCGCAUACAGCCAUUGAGAGUCAUCCGGUUUAUUUUGAGUAGGUGGCCGAUACAUGGAUUGACCGCUGUUCCUUCCUUUCGUUUUAUGUACAUGUUGCAAAUUAGCUGCCCAGCUACCGCGAGUGAGCGUGCUUCCGCUCAUAGUAUCUGGCCUUGCGUUGAUUAGCUAGUGCGCGGAGCUGGUCGACUAGCUUGAGCAUUUCUGUUUGUUUAAUUGUUUUUUGUUUUCAUGUUAGCCAUUCUCCCCCGCUCUAACUCAAUCAGCUAAACCAGUCUUGCUUUAACUAUUCUUUGUGCUCUGCCUGCCAUUAAUUCGAGGGGCUUGUCUAUCUGCAUGCUGUUGGGUUUGCUUUACGCCCCUUCUAGAUUGCUGUGCUUGACUAAGAGCGUAUGGCUUUGCUUUAACUAUGUGUGUGUUCUUCUACUUUGCUCUGUGGAGUUUGCAGUGUGAUUACAAUUGCAGUGUAUCUUAAUGGAGUGUGUCAUUCACAGGUGUGUAUAUUCCCUUCUCUAAGGUCGCAGCAAACACAAGUAAGGUACAAGCCAGCUGGGUAGUCUGUUUGCAGUAAGGGGUGGAAAUGUUAAAUGUUGUGUAUGUUAUUGCUCAUUAAAUCAUUUUAUGAAUUGGAGAAAAUAAAGGAAGCUAGCAUUUUACUAUCUUCCCUACCAUAGUUUAUUAAAUUAAUGUUAAUAAAAAGGAUGUUUUUUUCUCUUUUA